UCUGCUCUUCACACCCGCGUAUUUUCAGGUUCACCUCCCCUUCUCAAAACCCAAAAUCCUUCCUCUCCUUCAAUAUACAGCUCCCCUCUUCUUCAAUGAAUGCUAUGGAAUUUCAAAAGAAUAUCUCGGUAUCAAUAAUGCAUGCCUUUUGGUAUUUCUAUAUCUUAUAUAGGAAGAGGUUCUGCAUCUAUUCCGAUUGUACUUUUCUUCACCAUUUUAAUGGUCCUGGUGGUUCUGCAUCUAUUCCGAUGGUACUUUUCUUCACAAUUUUAAUGGUCCUGGUUUAUGCUCUGCAAAACGAAUUCUUCCUAAGGUACAUCAUUCAAUGUCUUCUUGUAUUUCUUCAGGUAUUCAGCUUUUAUGUACUGCAUAUCAAUCUCAGUCCUUGUCACAAUUACCCUUAUAAGGGUGGUGUCAUCAGUCCCCAAACCCUUCAUAGCCUUAUGCAACACCUGCAAAAUUUCAGACGUGUUAGGAUGCAUCCAUAUCAUUUUUAUUACAAUAAUAAAAAUGGUAUAUAGGUCCUUCAGUACCAUAAUCCCACAUCAGUAAAAGCAUAUCUGAACCUGUUGUUCAGAAAAACUAGAGAUAUGGUCCAUAUGGAAACGGAGAGAAUAGUUUGACAGAGCAUAAUUUCAUUCCUAUCUAAUUUUAGUAUCAGAAUAGUGAAUAUAGUCAUAAAUCAAUGAGUUAGGUCCACUUUUGUUCUGUUGGUUUCUAAUCGUUACAAUGGAAGAACUUGUAAUUUAUUGGAAUAAUGUGAGGGAUAUUUGGCAGCUCAUAAUAAAAGGAAAUUAUGCAAAAGCUUUAUAGAAUUA